rnacentral:rRNA from 1 species
GACGUAGGGGCGCGAGCGUUGUCCGGAUUUAUUGGGCGUUAAAGAGCUUCGUAGGCGCUUGUCGCGUCGAAUCGUGAAAUCUCAGGGCUCAACUCUGACAUUGCAUUCGAUACGGGGCAGGCUAGAGUUCGGUAGGGGAGACUUGAAAUUCCUGGUGUAGGCGGUGAAAUGCGCAGAUAUCAGGAAGAACACCCCGUGGCGAAGGCCGGCUCUCUGGGGACGGUA